rnacentral:rRNA from 1 species
GACGAACGCUGGCGGCGUGCUUAACACAUGCAAGUCGAACGAAGUGGCGAACGGGUGAGUAACGCGUAAUCAACCUGCCCUUCCGAGGGGGAAAACAGUUGGAAACGACUGCAAAUACCGCAUACUGAAGGAGGGGAUGGCGUUUGAUUAGUGAGUUGGAGGGGAAACGGCACACCAAGGCGAAGAUAAGUAGCUGAUCUGGGAGGGUGAACGGCCACAUUGGGACUGAGACACGGCCCAGACUCCUACGGGAGGCAGCAGUAGGGAAUCUUCCGCCAUGGACGAAAGUCUGACGGAGCAACGCCGCGUGAGUGAUGACGGCCUUCGGGUUGUAAAGCUCUGUUAAUCGGGACGCGGUACCUGACUAGAAAGCCACGGCUAACUACGUGCCAGCAGCCGCGGUAAUAC